ACGCACGCUGGCGGCGCGCUUAACACAUGCAAGUCGAACGGAAAGGCCUGCUUUCCCUUGUGGAUUGCGGGUACUCGAGUGGCGAACGGGUGAGUAACACGUGAGUGAUCUGCCCCCAACUUGGGUAUAAGCCUGGGAAACUGGGUCUAAUUCCCGAUAGGACUGCAGGGUGGUGCCUGUGGUGGAAAACGAUUUUCUAGUGGUUGGGGAUGAGCUCGCGGCCUAUCAGCUUGUUGGUGGGGUAAUGGCCUACCAAGGCGGCGACGGGUAGCCGGCCUGAGAGGGUGGACGGACACAUUGGGACUGAGAUACGGCCCAGACUCCUACGGGAGGCAGCAGUGGGGAAUAGUGCACAAUGGGCGGAAGCCUGAUGCAGCGACGCCGCGUGGGGGAUGACGGCCUUCGGGUUGUAAACUCCUUUCGACCGCGAGGAAGCCGCCUGGUUGGAAGGGUGGUGACGGUAGUGGUAGAAGAAGCACCGGCUAACUACGUG
rnacentral:rRNA from 1 species